GUGCCUAAUACCUGCCAGUCCUACCCACUGGCCUAACUGAUUGAUGGUGCUUGCACCUGAUUGACGUUGGAUCACCAGAGAGUGGCGGAGGGGUGAGUAACACGUAGGUAACCCGCCCCGGAGCGGGGGAUAACCUUUGGAAACAGAUGCUACUCCCGCAUAACAACAAAAGCCACAUGGCUUUUGUGAGAAAGAUGGCUGUGGCCAUCACUCUGGGAUGGACCUGCGGUGCAUUAGCUAGUUGGUAAGGUAACGGCUUACCAAGGCGAUGAUGCAUAGCCGAGUUGAGAGACUGAUCGGCCACAAUGGAACUGAGACACGGUCCAUACUCCUACGGGAGGCAGCAGUAGGGAAUCUUCCACAAUGGGCGCAAGCCUGAUGGAGCAACACCGCGUGAGUGAAGAAGGGUUUCAGCUCGUAAAGCUCUGUUGUUGGAGAAGAACGUGCGUGAGAGUAACUGUUCACGCAGUGACGGUAUCCAACCAGAAAGUCACGGCUAACUACGUGCCAGCAGCCGCGGUAAUACGUAGGUGGCAAGCGUUAUCCGGAUUUAUUGGGCGUAAAGCGAGCGCAGGCGGUUGCUUAGGUCUGAUGUGAAAGCCUUCGGCUUAACCGAAGAAGUGCAUCGGAAACCGGGCGACUUGAGUGCAGAAGAGGACAGUGGAACUCCAUGUGUAGCGGUGGAAUGCGUAGAUAUAUGGAAGAACACCAGUGGCGAAGGCGGCUGUCUGGUCUGCAACUGACGCUGAGGCUCGAAAGCAUGGGUAGCGAACAAAAUUAGAUACCCUGGUAGUCCAUGCCGUAAACGAUGAGUGCUAGGGGUUGGAGGGUUUCCGCCCUUCAGUGCCGGAGCUAACGCAUUAAGCACUCCGCCUGGGGAGUACGACCGCAAGGUUGAAACUCAAAGGAAUUGACGGGGGCCCGCACAAGCGGUGGAGCAUGUGGUUUAAUUCGAAGCUACGCGAAGAACCUUACCAGGUCUUGACAUCUUGCGCUAACCUUAGAGAUAAGGCGUUCCCUUCGGGGACGCAAUGACAGGUGGUGCAUGGUCGUCGUCAGCUCGUGUCGUGAGAUGUUGGGUUAAGUCCCGCAACGAGCGCAACCCUUGUUACUAGUUGCCAGCAUUAAGUUGGGCACUCUAGUGAGACUGCCGGUGACAAACCGGAGGAAGGUGGGGACGACGUCAGAUCAUCAUGCCCCUUAUGACCUGGGCUACACACGUGCUACAAUGGACGGUACAACGAGUCGCAAGCUCGCGAGAGUAAGCUAAUCUCUUAAAGCCGUUCUCAGUUCGGACUGUAGGCUGCAACUCGCCUACACGAAGUCGGAAUCGCUAGUAAUCGCGGAUCAGCAUGCCGCGGUGAAUACGUUCCCGGGCCUUGCACACACCGCCCGUCA
rnacentral:rRNA from 1 species